rnacentral:rRNA from 1 species
UGGACCCGCGUCUGAUUAGCUAGUUGGUAGGUAACGGCUUACCAAGGCGACGAUCAGUAGCCGACCUGAGAGGGUGAUCGGCCACAUUGGAACUGAGACACGGUCCAAACUCCUACGGGAGGCAGCAGUGGGGAAUAUUGCACAAUGGGCGAAAGCCUGAACCAGCCAAGUAGCGUGAAGGAUGACUGCCCUAUGGGUUGUAAACUUCUUUUAUAUGGGAAUAAAGUUGUCCACGUGUGGAUUUUUGUAUGUACCAUAUGAAUAAGGAUCGGCUAACUCCGUGCCAGCAGCCGCGGUAAUACGGAGGAUCCGAGCGUUAUCCGGAUUUAUUGGGUUUAAAGGGAGCGUAGGCGGAUUGUUAAGUCAGUUGUGAAAGUUUGCGGCUCAACCGUAAAAUUGCAGUUGAUACUGGCAGUCUUGAGUGCAGUAGAGGUGGGCGGAAUUCGUGGUGUAGCGGUGAAAUGCUUAGAUAUCACGAAGAACUCCGAUUGCGAAGGCAGCUCACUGGAGUGUAACUGACGCUGAUGCUCGAAAGUGUGGGUAUCAAACAGGAUUAGAUACCCUGGUAGUCCACACAGUAAACGAUGAAUAGUGGCUGUUUGCGAUAUACAGUAAGCGGCCAAGCGAAAGCAUUAAGUAUUCCACCUGGGGAGUACGCCGGC